rnacentral:antisense_RNA from 1 species
CUUCAGCGAGCCCAGCCACAGCGGCUUGUCCUCCGGCCGCUCCUUGCCGUAGGUGGCGAGCAGCGCCUGCGCCUC